CGCCGGCCGGAGCGCAGGGCAGCGGGUGCGCUCGCAGCAGGCCGGGGCAAAUAAACUUUCCCUCAGAGGCGUGGUUUCUUGAAAUGAGGGGGUGGUCUCGGAAGGAAAGUCUGGGAACAGGACUUUACCAGAAAAAGAACGUGAGGCGAGAGGAAAUACGGCCAGUGCCACAAACUCAUACUGGGAUCUGAGAGCCAAGCUGAUUCUCCGCCAUGCCCACCUUCUUCUGAAUGAUAAUUUAUAAUACAGGUUCUGGCCUCACUGACCCCUGUGAGGUGGGAAGGCUGCUCAAACUCCCUUAGACUCCAGUGACAGAACACUUGGGACCACAGGUUCUUUAAAAGCUUCGGAUCUGUGUGGAGAUCACAGAAACUGGAGAUCUUUUUGUGUGUGUGUGCAAGAGAAGCAGGUCUACCCUAAUGUCUUUGCCCCAAAUCCCCCCUCCAGCCCCACUAUUAUGGACCAUGCUGUUAAUCUGCUGUCUACUGUCUCUGUGCUAGAAGUUGCUGCAUUUCAGUGAUGUACAGUAUGUGAAAUAUCUCCACUCCACUUUAUCAGUCCCUUAGAGGGGGCCUGGAAGCCUCUUGGAUGCUAUCAAAAAUGAAAAUGCUUUCAACUGCUCUUCAGCUAGAUUGCUGAGUCUUGGCACCGUCUCUGCCAUCCAUGGCCCCUUUCCUUGGAGAACAUCAGAGAGCACCAACAGAACCACACUGACACUGACGUACAGCAACCUCCAUUUUAUUUCCAUUAGUCAUUCUGAAAGGACACGACAAUAAUUUACCUUCAUCUCAAUGCUACAAAAUUAUGUCUGAGAGGGAGGUGGUAAAACAGGGCCCUGCCAGCAGCGUGGUGCCAGAAGCGCCACCAAGCACAAGCCAGUCAUCGGAUGGCCGAUACAUGCAGGGCACGUGCACUGGACAGCUCACCAUCAAAACACGGGACGAACUGAUCAAAGAUGCAUGAUCAAAACCACACCCCACUAGCUGCAAGUUCUUCCCAAGAUAGGGAAGCACUUGAGAGCACAGAACGCCGCGAGUGACCCAUGUCUGUCCGUCUCAGGCUGUGAUGCCAUUGUCACAAGCAGCAGUGCUAUCGGGCAUGCACCUACAGUUGCUGGAGGAACGACCAGGACCACCACCUUGCAGAAUGAGCCCAAAUGGACAGGAUUCAAUGUGUGCGGCUUGGGCCCAUCUCCAACAGGGACAGACCCAUCUAAGCUGGUACACUGUCUCCGACCAGAUACUUCAGAGGAAGGCUACAAUCCCCAUAAUGCAUCUCAUUGUUCCAUAUGGGCAUGAUCCAAAGCCCAUCACAUUCACUGUAAAGAUUCCCAAAGGCUUGUGGAUCAGGCGCUGUACUUCGUGGGGGAUUUCUUCUUACAAUCCAGAUCAGAACUUCAUGGCUCAGGCCUUAACUCUAGUCUGGAUCUACCUGAAGCUCUCCUGAUCUUUCUGGCUCAUCAUCAGGCAGGAGCAGAUAUUACUAGCAAAAAGUAAAAUCCUGACACUGGUUUUUAUUUUAAAAAAAAGGGAAGUUCCUAGCAGCUGGGAAAAAACAACAGAGAGAAAACUAUCCCAGAGGACGGGACUGUGGAAGCAGGGUCUGCGUCCGAUUCAGGAUUUGUUGUUCUUUUCUGUCUGGGGAACGGAACAAUGCAAAGCAGAGCAUGGAAAAUAAAUCCAUCCGUAUACAAAUGGGGGAGGGGAACCCUACAGGGAUCUGUUUAAAAUGUUAAAGGCCUGUUCAUUCUUCCUCCUUCUCACAUAGUUGCUCACUCACAUUUCUCCCUCCUCUUCCCCACUCCACCCCUGACUUCCUCCUCACAGCGACAAGCACGUUUUUUCCCUCUAUACAGCCUGGUCAUUGUUCGGUGUCCUGUCCUGGGAGGACAGAGGAACAUAGAGUUUGUACAGCUUCAGUCAUGGCAUGUUAUAUUGCUCAGAUCUGGAUACCUUGUGUUUAAUCUGCCUCUUCUGAAAGGAAGGGCUUUGGUUAUGGUCAAACAGUGAAAGCAGGCAGGGGUGAGAAUUGGAUUUCCUGUCCUCGGCUCAGGGGCGGGGGGGGGCAGGUGUUACGCUGCAGGGUGCUGCAUGCCAGACUGGCACAAUACAAUACAUUUACAUAGCAUAAUUCAUCGUAAGGUUUACUUAAGCCAAUAGGAACUGUGGCCACUCUUAACAUUACAUGGCUAGAACCUUUUAAAACAGACAAGCCAAGCCUAAGUUACAUCAGACCUGAUCCAGAUCUCCCAUACACCACUUUUAUACUCUACCCACUUCAGUGGGGUGACUCCUGAUUUAUAUCCGUGACAACGAGAGUGAAUUCGGCCCAGAACGUCUGGGUUCAGAAAAGUCCAGUUAGUAUUUGCUGCACUGACUAUGAAGCUGCUAAAGGGACUGGGACAAGUCAGGGAUCCAAGCCAACACUGUGAGUCCUCAGCCCAGACCUAAUUUCUAGUAACAAAUGCAGCCCACUAGUUGUUCCAUCCCUAGAGUUAAUUUAAGGCACUGGGUUUCAACCUGCGGUCCACAGACCCCUGAAGACCUGCCAACUAUGUCAGUGUUUGCCAAAGGAGUCCACACCUAAAGUCGAAAUUUUUUAGGGGUCUGCAAAUGAAAAAAGAUUGAAACUCCUGAUUUAGUGGAGUAAAAGCCAGCGAGCCAGCCCACAAAUUCAAUUGAAACCCUGUCCCAGGGCGGUGCUAUGAACCAUUUACUGCUAUUUACGGGCUCACUGGGACCAUAGAGUUCAGAGGACAUUUGUAAAUAAAGCAAGAAAUGGACAAAGGGAAAUCCUGUCUGUAAAUUCUAAACUGACCCUCCAUUACGUGUCUAUGAUCUUUCUUUACAGGCAUCUCUGCUGGGCCUUCUCCUCAAAGCCCAAAACCCAGGCCUAGAUUAGUCAGGGACAACUAGUUAGCUAGAGAAGAAGAUUGCAGGGCUCUCAGUCUGUCUGGGUGUCCCUUGAACUGCAGAAUCCCUGCUGAGUGAGUCAGUGAUGGGACAGCACCAGCCCGGCUGAGAGCUCUCUGUGUUUAGACUAGCAGCAGGUCCAAUCAGCAGGAGGAUUCGCAGUCUGUCACCCUCCAGUUUUUAAGCCCUCAGCCCUUUUCAUCUUUUUGAUACACAUGAAUUUCUGAAUUACCCGUGUGACAGCACGGGCCUUCAGCUAAUUAUCAUCCUUAGUCCGACAGCCGUGCUUAGGAGCCUUAGUCAAGAUCAGGGCCUCAUCAUGUGAGGUGCUUUAUAAAGGCAAUAGUGAGAUUCGCUCCCUGCCCCAAGGCACUUACAGUCUAAACAGAGAAGCCGGCCAAAGGGUGGGAGAGGAAACAGAGAGAUGAAGUGACUGGAUCAAGGUUAUGCAGCUGGUCCGUGGCAGAGCCGGGACUGGAGGCCAGCUCUCCUGGGUCCCAGCACAGAGUCCUAUCUACGAUACUCAGAGUGAGGCUGGGGAGCCACAGGUGGCUCUUUACUGCAUUUCCUGCAGCUCUUUGCAGAGCAUGAUAUUAAAACCCUGGGUGAUUUCAUUAUUAACCAAUAUAAGUUAUUAACCAAUCAGGAAGCUUUUACUAUGUUAUUAACCAAUUGUAGACUACUUGGUCAGCCAUUUUGCUGUGAGAAUAAUUAUAUAGAUAUAAAAAUAGUCAAUGAAACAAUGAAUUCACACUCCUGGGGCUACUGUUGAUGGCUGAUUUGGCUCCUGGACCACUGAAGUCUGAGAAUCACUGAACCUAGAGCCACUGAAGCAUCUGGGAGUUUUGCCGGCUGACGGACUAUGGUGGAAAUGAUCCUAUUUACUCCAAGCCUGGAUUUGGCCCAAACAGAGGGUGCUGCUCUCAAGCAAAUGUCAAUCAGACCCGGUGAGCUCUAAGAAGGAGAAGGAGGCCUGACAACCAGUCAUUCAGCUCCAGAGACAGGGCCACUCUGGGGAGAUGCCAGGCUGGGGCAGGUCCCUCCAGGCCAAAGAGCUGCAUUAGAACUCUCCCUAGGAGCUUUUCAAAUUCCAGAAUCAACCAGUAGAAAUGCCCCAAUCCAAAGCCCAUUCAAUCAAUGGGAGUUUUUCCUACUG